CGCGGGGUGGAGCAGUGGUAGCUCGUCGGGCUCAUAACCCGAAGGUCGGGGGUUCGAAUCCCUCUCCCGCUACCA
rnacentral:tRNA from 1 species